UUCUUAUUUUUUUCAUGUGUUCCCCCUUUUUAGUCUUCUUUCAGUUAUAUUUUACUUGUCAAGAGUUUUAUAACUCAAUUGAUAUUUUUUUAUGUUUCCAAUUGAAAUAUUUAAGAGUUCAAUUGUCAAUUUUCCAUAGUAACUAUUGAUUUUUAUUUGUUUAAAUAUACUACUUCAUUUUGUCUUGUUCCAGUGAGUUUAAUAGUCCAUUUUACAAGUUUCUACUUGAAUGUAUGGUCUAUAAAUAAGACCAGGAUAGAGAAGCUUAGAAUCACUGACUCUCAAAAUGAAGGCCAUUCUCAUUGUUUGCCUUCUCUUGACUUCCAUAUUUUUCAUUCCUUCUUCAAAUGCAGCAGAAAGAAAGUGUGAACCAUAUCGACGAUCAUGUCGGUCGAACCCGCCAAAUUUGCCCUUGAAGCCACCAGCUCCGCCUCUGAAGCCACCAACUCCGCCUUUGAAGCCACCAACUCCGCCAACGCCAGGUCCACCCUAUAGGAAGCCAACUCCGCCAUCGCCAGGUCCACCCUAUAGGAAGAAGCCAACUCCGCCAUCUGGAUGUAGUCGUACCCCAUAUAGACGUUGCGCACCUCCAACCCCUUAACAAAUGAAGCACCACGGUUCAACAAUAAUCAAGCAUUAGGUUGCUUAUUAUCGUGGAGGGCAGUAUUUAUUAAGAAUAAAGUGGGUUUUAAUUAUGCGAUAAUAUCAUAUAUAUGUGGUAUUAUGCACUCCAUGCUAGUGUAUUGUAAAUGUGUCCAAAAUAAAAAGUUGACUAAAGUUUGUCUGUUGACUUA